UGCAGGCCUCCCUGAAGCCUGAACUCAGGUAGACUGGCAGGCAGCAAGCAAGAAAAGAAGGAGGCAGGCAGAGUUCUCUGCAGAUCCUCUACCCAGGCCGGUCAGCCCAGCCUUUGCCAGUAAUGGAGGAAUGAAAAAAAUUGUGUUGGUGGCUAUCAGCCAGUGCAACAAUUUUACUUGUGACCUGGCGCACAGAUGAAACACAAGAAUGGGAGUGAAGCAUGAGGACAAUGGCAGCUAGCACACCACACUGGGAUAUAUUUUGAGAACUGUGGACGUAGGGCCAAGUGAAAUGGCCAGAGCAGGUGGUAGACUGGCGAAGCUGGUCAAUCAGUCUACCAGCGGAGAUCACCUCAUACAGUCUCAUUAGUGGGCCAACAGUGACAGAAGCACAGCAAAAGCAUCAAUAGUUAAUACUGUUCUGACUUCAGAUCCUUUCUUUCCAACACAGACAUGGACAUUGCUUGUCAAAGUACUUUGCAGUAAAUCAUCUGGAAUGUUUGCAGCCUCUUCUAGUAGAUUAUCAUAAUGGAGGAUACUUAUUUAUUAAGCACUGGACUGAGAUCACCAAAUUCCUUUCACAUGAUAUGCCAAGAAAGGCAUCAGAUGACAUAAAGAUUUGGCAAGAGCCCAAGCCCAUCAAGAAGAAUUCUGAAAUCAAGCUGUUCCUACUGAAGAUUUCAGUCUCACAUCCCAGCAUAUGCUUCACUCAUCAUUAUUCCAGUUUCACAAACGUUAAGCGACGUUUCUUCCAGUAACUUUGCUGUCUUCAGCCCUGGUUGCUCAACUGAAGAUCCUGAGUCCUGUUGCCCACUUGCCACCAGAUGUCCAGGGACUCCAGCACCUGGCGCGGUCCUUGUUGACCCGGGCAACGACUGAUCCGGUAUAGAUUUAUUAAAGUCAGCUUGCCUGUCCCCUGUUGUAGUCUGUCUACUAACCCUUUCUGUUUUGUUGUUGAAAAGUUUGUCCCAGUGGGGAUCCUGUAGAGAGAGUGUGUGGAGUGGAGUGAGACGAGAGGGAGGGAAAGGAGAAGAAUAAAAAUGGAGUUGUUUCUAGAAUAAAGCCUUAGUUCAAUCUGCAUAAGACUACUUGUGUCUAUGAAGGACCAGGGAAGAAGCUAUAAAACACCCCCUGCCACUGGUCCCACCUUCUCAGACUCCCAUCUAGGGUCAGUGGCUCCACAUGGAGAACCAUUUUUGACAGCAAUUCAGCCUGGCUUUCCCUAACUGAUUUUCCCUUCCUUUUCCUCUCCUUCCUUUUCUGCCCCAGUCUGUUGUCUUUCUUUCGGGUGUAACUCUGAGGAUAGAGACUGUGUUACUCUAAUUUUUGAACAGCACCUAACAAGUUGUUAUAAAUUAAUAGAUACACAGAUGGAAGACUGCUUGAAGACUUCUGUUCUGAGAUCUUUGAAGGACGUCGUGUAUACGUUUAUUGGACUUAACCAAAGCACAGUUUGGAAGUUUAAUCUUUCAGUGGUAGAUGUUAGCCCCUGAGCUUAUUCUGCCAAUUCCCAGAAGCUUCCCUGGUUGCAACAGCAUCUCCAGGCCUGGACUUUGCACUUUUGCUAUGCUCAGGAGCUGCACCACAAUGUGAGCUCCCAGUUUAUAUUAUAUAUGGGGAUGAGUCACUUAUUUGGCAGUGGACUGGUCACCCCUAGAUUUGGGCUGCAAGUAACACAAAUUGCAAAAGGGAUUAGUUCCACAACACCCCCUCUCCCUACAUGGGGGCAUGGCUAAGCAGACUUCAGAACUAGCUAUUGUGAGUUAUCUGGCAUCCCAUGUCAUUUUGGACUUAGUAUGAACACUAAAACUCCCCUCCCUUCAUCCUCUCACAAGAGAGAUAACACCAGUUGCAAAUGAAGCAAUUAGGCCAGGAAGGGAAAGCAGAUAAAGACCAGUGCAGCAGCAGACUCCCUCAGGAUAGGAUGAGUCAGUAACGUAACUUUGAAAAGGUGCACAUUGAAACUUUUGAUAGAAUUAUUGAGAAGCCCUUCCCAGCACAGGAUACUCUUGGACGCACCUGCACACUCUAAUUGUCCUCACAAUCAGCCUUGAAUACAAUAGGCAAUUCACAUACUUUCCCACCCAGGAAGGAUGAUAUGGCACAAUGCAUUCCAUGCCAGCCCAUCUGAGCUCUUCUAUUCAGCAAAGUAUGACAAAAGAAAAGCGUCCUCAAGGCAUGUUUUCGGAUACAAGUAUCCCUAACUCCAUGACCUACUGUGCUCCCUUGUGCUUUACACUUGGGAUUCCAUCAGACUGCAACAAGGACUUCAGCAAGACCAUAUUCAUGCUUCCUUGUGUAUUAUACGCUUGGGACUCCACUGUAACAAGAACUCCAGCAGACCACCUUGGUGUGUCCCUCUCUAUUGAGGCCACCUGAGCUGAAAUCAAUUGUUCCAGCCAGCUUGCUUGGCAGACACAGGAGGCUGGGUCCACCAAGAAGCUAUUCUUGUGGACAUCCCUCCACACUAAUUCCUACAACUCUUCUGCUUUCCACUUUGUCUCCCCGGAUGGAUGCUAAUCUCCAGCUGCCCGAGUCGGAUCUUCGUGAGGACAGGUGAUAUAGCCUCUUGCCCGGCUCUUUCAGGGCUGAAUCUAUCCCUCUCUCUAAUUUCUGAAACCUUACCUCCCUAUCUUAAAGUAACUCUCUCUAGCCGGAAUGUGGAACUUUAAGCUAAACGUGUCUUACAAUAGUUUGUUUUUUAAACAUAUUUGUUUUAUGCUAGGGCUGCCUAGUAACUUAGUCUUAUUGCUUUUAUUUGUUUUUCUUACAAUAAACUCCUUUAGUUAAUUAAAACCUCUCUCUCUCAAGCCAGUUUUCUUGAGUUCAGAUGCUUGCAGAAUUUAAA